AUGUCUAAAUCAUUUUUGUUAAUGAAAGCUAUUUACUAUAGUGGUAGAAUAGCAAUGCUGGUGGUGUAUAGGCUAGUUAUCCCAUACAGUCAUAGUGGUAGAAUAGCAAUGCUGGUGGUGUAUAGGCUAGUUAUCCCAUACAGUCAUAGUGGUAGAAUAGCAAUGCUGGUGGUGUAUAGGCUAGUUAUCCCAUACAGUCAUAGUGGUAGAAUAGCAAUGCUGGUGGUGUAUAGGCUAGUUAUCCCAUACAGUCAUAGUGGUAGAAUAGCAAUGCUGGUGGUGUAUAGGCUAGUUAUCCCAUACAGUCAUAGUGGUAGAAUAGCAAUGCUGGUGGUGUAUAGGCUAGUUAUCCCAUACAGUCAUAGUGGUAGAAUAGCAAUGCUGGUGGUGUAUAGGCUAGUUAUCCCAUACAGUCAUAGUGGUAGAAUAGCAAUGCUGGUGGUGUAUAGGCUAGUUAUCCCAUACAGUCAUAGUGGUAGAAUAGCAAUGCUGGUGGUGUAUAGGCUAGUUAUCCCACACAGUCAUAGUGGUAGAAUAGCAAUGCUGGUGGUGUAUAGGCUAGUUAUCCCAUACAGUCAUAGUGGUAGAAUAGCAAUGCUGGUGGUGUAUAGGCUAGUUAUCCCACACAGUCAUAGUGGUAGAAUAGCAAUGCUGGUGGUGUAUAGGCUAGUUAUCCCACACAGUCAUAGUGGUAGAAUAGCAAUGCUGGUGGUGUAUAGGCUAGUUAUCCCACACAGUCAUAGUGGUAGAAUAGCAAUGCUGGUGGUGUAUAGGCUAGUUAUCCCACACAGUCAUAGUGGUAGAAUAGCAAUGCUGGUGGUGUAUAGGCUAGUUAUCCCAUACAGUCAUAGUGGUAGAAUAGCAAUGCUGGUGGUGUAUAGGCUAGUUAUCCCAUACAGUCAUAGUGGUAGAAUAGCAAUGCUGGUGGUGUAUAGGCUAGUUAUCCCAUACAGUCAUAGUGGUAGAAUAGCAAUGCUGGUGGUGUAUAGGCUAGUUAUCCCAUACAGUCAUAGUGGUAGAAUAGCAAUGCUGGUGGUGUAUAGGCUAGUUAUCCCAUACAGUCAUAGUGGUAGAAUAGCAAUGCUGGUGGUGUAUAGGCUAGUUAUCCCAUACAGUCAUAGUGGUAGAAUAGCAAUGCUGGUGGUGUAUAGGCUAGUUAUCCCAUACAGUAAAGCCUUUGAUCUUUCCUCUUGA
rnacentral:lncRNA from 1 species